UACACUCCUACGGGAGGCAGCAGUGGGGAAUUUUGGACAAUGGGCGCAAGCCUGAUCCAGCCAUGCCGCGUGCGGGAAGAAGGCCUUCGGGUUGUAAACCGCUUUUGUCAGGGAAGAAAAGGUUCUGGCUAAUACCUGGGACUCAUGACGGUACCUGAAGAAUAAGCACCGGCUAACUACGUGCCAGCAGCCGCGGUAAUACGUAGGGUGCAAGCGUUAAUCGGAAUUACUGGGCGUAAAGCGUGCGCAGGCGGUUAUGCAAGACAGAGGUGAAAUCCCCGGGCUCAACCUGGGAACUGCCGUUGUGACUGCAUGGCUAGAGUACGGUAGAGGGGGAUGGAAUUCCGCGUGUAGCAGUGAAAUGCGUAGAUAUGCGGAGGAACACCGAUGGCGAAGGCAAUCCCCUGGACCUGUACUGACGCUCAUGCACGAAAGCGUGGGGAGCAAACAGGAUUAGAAACCCUAGUAGUCCCAUGA
rnacentral:rRNA from 1 species